rnacentral:rRNA from 1 species
UCGAGAAUCUUCGGCAAUGGGCGCAAGCCUGACCGAGCGACGCCGCGUGCGGGAUGAAGGCCUUCGGGUUGUAAACCGCUGUCGGAGGGGAGGAAAUGCGCGGGGGUUCUCCCUCGCGUUUGACCUAGCCUCAAAGGAAGGACGGGCUAAGUUCGUGCCAGCAGCCGCGGUAAGACGAACUGUCCAAACGUUACUCGGAAUUACUGGGCUUAAAGGGUGCGUAGGCGGCUCAGAAAGUUGGGUGUGAAAGCCCUCGGCUUAACCGAGGAGGGUCGCCCAAAACUACUGAGCUUGAGGAAGACAGAGGUGCGCGGAACUUGCGGUGGAGCGGUGAAAUGCGUUGAUAUCGCAAGGAACACCAGGGGCGAAAGCGGCGCACUGGGUCUUUUCUGACGCUGAGGCACGAAAGCUAGGGGAGCGAAGAG